rnacentral:sRNA from 1 species
UAUACGUGAUCCAACUGGUAGAUCUU